rnacentral:rRNA from 1 species
GAUGAACGCUGGCGGCGUGCCUAAUACAUGCAAGUCGAGCGAACGGACGAGAAGCUUGCUUCUCUGAUGUUAGCGGCGGACGGGUGAGUAACACGUGGAUAAGCUACCUAUAAGACUGGGAUAACUUCGGGAAACCGGAGCUAAUACCGGAUAAUAUUUUGAACCGCAUGGUUCAAAAGUGAAAGACGGUCUUGCUGUCACUUAUAGAUGGAUCCGCGCUGCAUUAGCUAGUUGGUAAGGUAACGGCUUACCAAGGCAACGAUGCAUAGCCGACCUGAGAGGGUGAUCGGCCACACUGGAACUGAGACACGGUCCAGACUCCUACGGGAGGCAGCAGUAGGGAAUCUUCCGCAAUGGGCGAAAGCCUGACGGAGCAACGCCGCGUGAGUGAUGAAGGUCUUCGGAUCGUAAAACUCUGUUAUUAGGGAAGAACAUAUGUGUAAGUAACUGUGCACAUCUUGACGGUACCUAAUCAGAAAGCCACGGCUAACUACGUG